AAUACGGUCCGCAAGAAUAAGCCCGGCUAACUUCGUGCCAGCAGCCGCGGUAAUACAAAGGGGGCUAGCGUUGCUCGGAAUCNCUGGGCGUAAAGGGUGCGUAGGCGGGUCUUUAAGUCAGGGGUGAAAUCCUGGAGCUCUAACUCCAGAACUGCCUUUGAUACUGAGGAUCUUGAGUUCGGGAGAGGUGAGUGGAACUGCGAGUGUAGAGGUGAAAUUCGUAGAUAUUCGCAAGAACACCAGUGGCGAAGGCGGCUCACUGGCCCGAUACUGACGCUGAGGCACGAAAGCGUGGGGAGCAAACAGGAUUAGAUACCCUGGUAGUCCACGCCGUAAGCGAUGAAUGCCAGCCGUUAGUGGGUUUACUCACUAGUGGCGCAGCUAACGCUUUAAGCAUUCCGCCUGGGGAGUACGGUCGCAAGAUUAAAACCCAAAGGAAUUGACGGGGGCCCGCACAAGCGGUGGAGCAUGUGGUUUAAUUCGACUGCAACGCGCGGAACCUCACCAGCCCUUGACAUCCCGAGUCAGCGGACUCCAGAGAUGGAGUUCUUCAGUUCGG
rnacentral:rRNA from 1 species